rnacentral:rRNA from 1 species
CAGAAAGAUGAUCAGGUUGAUAGGUCUGAGGUGGAAGUGUGGCGACACAUGGAGCUGACAGAUACUAAUCGAUCGAGGACUUAACCAC